UUUAGGCCUUUUAAACGUUGAAAAACUAUAAACCAAGAUAUUUCAUGUCCUGGGCCGCCCUGCUUCUACGAUUUUUUUGUCUUCCUCGCCAUUUUCUCAGUACAUGGUUGGUAAUUUUCUGACAAUGCAUUUUGUAGGAAAUAUUUUUAUCGGAAUAUGGUAUGUUCUCUUGUAGUGCAUAUAGACUAAUUAAAUUUAUCAAAUACCUAUCAUUUACGAUAUCUUUUGAUCAAUAUGUUUGUGUCAAACUAUAAUAGAAACCGCAUAUAAUGGAAACCUUAAUUGUAUAUAAAAUGCAAUAUGCAAAAAGGCCAAGGUGGAAAGAAAGAAGGCCAAGAAGAAUCUCCAGAAGUGAGCAUGAGGACGCGACCUCUCUUGUUAUGCGGCAAGAGGUAGAGGCGCCCAUUAUAUUCCAUUUACUUGUUGCAGAUAUUUUUUUUAUUUUUUUCUUAGUUAGAUUCUUCCUGUUGUUUGUAUUUAUUUAUUUCUUCUUUCAGAAAUUAUUGGGAAAAAAAAAUUAUCUCUGUUCUUUUCCUUUAUUUUUUUUUUUUCGUAAUUUAAUUAGUUUAGUAAAGUAUAUAAAUCUACUCUUUUUGAGUGGUAUCUGAGCAGCUUUAGAGUGGCCACUCUUUUUGACCUAAAGCUACAGCAGCUAUUCUUCCUUCGAUCUCCCUCUUUGGUGGUCUGUUUCUCUCACCGCCACCGGGGAUGGACUCGUCUCUUCAUACUCUAGCUAUUGACGUCUCUUUUGGUGGGUUCCAUGGAAGAUGUGGACGGAUCUGGAGUUUGUAUGGACUCAAUCUCCACAUCGCUUAUGAUUUUCACGGAAUCAAGGAUGCACCGGAUGAGACAAAACAUCGUGGGGGGUGAACAGAAGAAGUAAAAUUACAUUCGAACAACUAGAAUUGAUUUUCACUCUAAGGAUCAAGAUGAAAAUUUGGGUUUCUCUACCAUUUCAAUUAUGUUUAGUCAUAGACGUAUUAACUAUGAUAAAAAUAUUUGCUACUCUAAUAACUAGUGGGUUUUACACUUUUGCUGGCUAAAAUCUUCCAUUUAUAACAAGAAAAAAAAAAUUGAAGCAAUUAAUAACAUAUGUUGAGUGAAGAUGCUGAAUAACAAGCAUUCCACGAUAAAAUGAGAUAACAAGCAUGCUAUGCACAUUUCACAUUUUAUAACCAUUUACUUUAUAAACUAACCGUUAACAACAAAUGUUAAAUGGUGAUGAAAUAUAGUUUGCUGCGAGCGUCCAGUCUGUACUGCUACAGCCACAGUGAACGCAUUAGAUUCGUGAGCUUGUUAGUGUCCACCCUUAGGCACAUCCCACUUUUGGUAGCCUUUAAAUUCAAAAGCGAGAUCUUGAACAUAUGCGAAGAUAACUUGUACAUUAUUAGUCCAUUGAUAUAUCCAAUGGUAGAUAGCUCUUUUGUAAAACAAUGGAAUGUCCGAGUUGUUAGUUUUGACUUUUGAUUGGUUAAUGUUAUUUUGAUUUACAAAAAUUUAUAAGUGGACAGGCAUAUUCUUGAGAAUAUACCAGUUUCAUUCUCUUUUUCGACCUUUCUUCCCUCUCGUACCUGCUUCAAUCAUCUCGAUCUUAAUUUUGACCUAAUUUUAUUUUGUCACUAGUUUUGACCUGGCUAAUUUCUCUCCUUUGACGGCCAGUGCAAGCAAGGUCCCAUCAAAAGAAAGCAUACAUUAGACAUCAUUAUUGUAAACCCUAUAGUAUUUGAAUAUUAUAACUACGAUGGGUUUAUUUAGCAAACUUGCAUUAAUAUGAAGAAGAAGAGCCAGGAAAAGUCUAACAUAAUGGGACAACAAGCAUCCAAACAACAAAUCUCUUUUGGGACUUGAUGUGUGAUGCGCCGAGUGAUAUAUGCAACAAGUAGAAGUGGAAAAAGAAACUGUACAACAAGUAAUUCAAGUAUAUAUUCAACAUCAUGGUCUAAUCAUGAUAUAUUCUUUUUGACACACGUAAUUAUCAGUUGUUAUUUGAAAAUUA